rnacentral:rRNA from 1 species
GACGAACGCUGGCGGCGUGCCUAAUACAUGCAAGUUGAGCGCUGAAGGUUGGUACUUGUACCAACUGGAUGAGCAGCGAACGGGUGAGUAACGCGUGGGGAAUCUGCCUUUGAGCGGGGGACAACAUUUGGAAACGAAUGCUAAUACCGCAUAAAAACUUUAAACACAAGUUUUAAGUUUGAAAGAUGCAAUUGCAUCACUCAAAGAUGAUCCCGCGUUGUAUUAGCUAGUUGGUGAGGUAAAGGCUCACCAAGGCGAUGAUACAUAGCCGACCUGAGAGGGUGAUCGGCCACAUUGGGACUGAGACACGGCCCAAACUCCUACGGGAGGCAGCAGUAGGGAAUCUUCGGCAAUGGACGAAAGUCUGACCGAGCAACGCCGCGUGAGUGAAGAAGGUUUUCGGAUCGGAAAAAUCUGUUGGUAGAGAAGAACGUUGGUGAGAGUGGAAAGCUCAUCAAGUGACGGUAACUACUCAGAAAGGGACGGCUAACUACGUG